UUAGUCAUUAUAUCAUAUGCAUGUGAUUAAUUAGAAAAGAUCUAAACUUAAAUCUCCUCACUAAAUAUUAAGUCUACUGAUCUUCCAUCGUUGUAGAGAUGCGGAUGCCUUUUCUGACAUUGAUCGUUCUUGGCUAGUUAUAGUGGUUCGGUUGUAUCAAAAAGGCACAACCACUCUAUUGGCAUUAGAUACCCUAGGAUAAAGAUAGGGUUGGGCUCAAUAACUAUUAGGUG
rnacentral:lncRNA from 1 species